GAUGAACGCUAGCGGCAGGCCUAACACAUGCAAGUCGAGGGGUAGCAGGAUUAAGCUUGCUUAAUUGCUGACGACCGGCGCACGGGUGCGUAACGCGUAUGCAACCUACCUUAUACUGGGGUAUAGCCCGGAGAAAUUCGGAUUAAUCCCCCAUAGUACUAAUGAAUCGCAUGGUUUAUUAGUUAAAGCAUUGCGGUAUAAGAUGGGCAUGCGUCCUAUUAGCUAGAUGGUGAGGUAACGGCUCACCAUGGCUACGAUAGGUAGGGGGCCUGAGAGGGUGGUCCCCCACACUGGUACUAGGCCACGGACCAGACUCCUACGGGAGGCAGCAAUGAGGAAUAUUGGUCGAUGGGCGCAAGCCUGAACCAGCCAUGCCGCGUGCAGGAAGAAUGCCCUAUGGGUUGUAAACUGCUUUUAUUUGGGAAUAAACCUCUUUACGUGUAGAGAGCUGAAGGUACCAAAUGAAUAAGCACCGGCUAACUCCGUGCCAGCAGCCGCAGUAA
rnacentral:rRNA from 1 species